AUUGAACGCUGGCGGUAUGCUUAACACAUGCAAGUCGAACGGCAGCAUGGUCUAGCUUGCUAGACUGAUGGCGAGUGGCGGACGGGUGAGUAACGCGUAGGAAUAUGCCUUGAAGAGUGGGACAACUUGGGGAAACUCAAGCUAAUACCGCAUGUACUCGAGAGAGUAAAGCUGGGGACCUUUAGGCCUGGCGCUUUAAGAUUAGCCUGCGUCCGAUUAGCUAGUUGGUAGGGUAAAGGCCUACAAAGGCGACGAUCGGUAGCUGGUCUGAGAGGAUGAUCGGCCACACUGGAACUGAGGGGCGGCCCAGACUCCUACGGGGAGCAGCAAUGGGGAAUAUUGGACAAUGGGGGGAACCCUGAUCCAGCAAUGCCGCGUGUGUGAAGAAGGCCUGAGGGUUGUAAAGCACUUUCAGUGGGGAGGAGGUUUGGAAGGUUAAGAGCUAUUCAAAUGGACGUUACCCACAGAAGAAGCACCGGCUAACUCCGUGCCAGCCGCCGCCGUAA
rnacentral:rRNA from 1 species